CGUGAAAGCCCCGUGCUCAACGCGGGGAGGCCGCACAAUACUGUCAGGCUAGAGGGCAUCAGAGGGGUGUGGAAUUCCCGGAGUAGCGGUAAAAUGCGCAGAUAUCGGGAGGAACACCGGUGGCGAAAGUGGCACCCUGGGGUGCACCUGACGCUGAGAGACGACAGCUAGGGGAGCGAACAGGAUUAGAGACCCUGGUAGUCCUAGCCGUAAACGAUGGAUGCUAGGUGUGGGAGUGAAGAACUUCUGUGCCGCAGCGAACGCGAUAAGCAUCCCGCCUGGGGAGUACGGCCGCAAGGUUAAAACUCAAACGAAUUGACGGGGACCCGCACAAGCAGCGGAGCGUGUGGUUUAAUUCGAUGCUACACGAAGAACCUUUCCUGGGAUUGACAUAUGGGUGGUAGUGAGCCGAAAGGCAAGCGACCCUUCGGGGAGCCUAUACAGGUGUUGCAUGGCUGUCGUCAGCUCGUGCCGUGAGGUGUCGGGUUAAGUCCCGUAACGAGCGCAACCCCUGUCCUUAGUUACAAGUGUCUAAGGGGACUGCCGGCGGGAAGCCGGAGGAAGGUGGGGAUGACGUCAAGUCAGCAUGGCCCUUAUAUCCAGGGCGACACACACGCUACAAUGGUCGGUACAGAGGGCAGCGAAGCCGCGAGGUGGAGCGAAACCCAGAAAGCCGGUCGAGUUCGGAUUGCAGGCUGCAACUCGCCUGCAUGAAGUU
rnacentral:rRNA from 1 species